GAGUCCUUAGUUAACCUAUAACAUGUGGUUGUCAACCACAAGUCGCAAAUCUCUAAGCAGGAUUCA
rnacentral:tRNA from 1 species